rnacentral:lncRNA from 1 species
UUUCUGGUUCCUUGUCUUUUACUCUCCAGGUUUCCGGUUCCUCGUGUUUUAUUCUCAACAUUUCUGGUUCCUGGUCUUUUAUUGUGCAGGUUUCUGGUUCCUGGUCUUUUAUUGUGCAGGUUUCUGGUUCCUCGUCUUUUACUCUCCAGGUUUCCGGUUCCUCGUGUUUUAUUCUCAACAUUUCUGGUUCCUCGUCUUUUAUUCUCCAGGUUUCUGGUUCGCUCGUGUUUUCUUCUCUCUCCGAUUUUACAAACUCCAUCUUCACAGCAGCAGAUCUCAGUUCAGAUGAUAAACUCCUCCAGAUAUUCCUGCUCGCUUCAAAACUCAGUCACGACUGUGAGGACGAGAAUAUUACAGCGCCUCCCGCUGGACUGGAGCGAAGCGAAGAAAGGAAGAAAACCCAGGACGUUGUAAGGAUGUCGCCAGUUCGUCAUCAUUUAGCCCCAAGAGGGUCUGGCUGCAGACAUAUGGGCGAGUGA